AGCAUACGAAAGACACAUGUUUUAACAAAUAAUGACAUACAGGUGCUAAGUUCUGCAGUAGGGGAAGGUCAGAGAGCCAUGGAGAGGGCCUAGCCCAAUCCUGGAGCUUCAGAAAAAUGUUCCCCGUUGAAUUCCUGUUUUAGCUGAGACUUGUGGGAUGGGUAGUAGUUGGAGAUCCCAGACAGGAUGUGACUGAGUUAGCCAGGGAAAAAUUCGGUCCUGGCACCCAUGGCAGAAUUGAUUGAUGAGUUCUUCUGUCUCCUUUGUUUGGAAGUCCACUAGGUCUGAGAAUGUCAAGUUGGGGGAGGGCGCUGACAAUGAUCAUGACCUUCACCUGUCCUCACAUGUCCUCUGUGUAUCCGCAAAGCCUCUGCCUCAGUCUCCUCUUUUGGAAAGUGGGAUUAGAAACCACAUCUGCUUCUCUCCCAGGACUGCUAGGAAGACAAGAUUGGAUGGCAGGUCUGUUCUUCCCCUGGAUUGUAAACUCCUUGAUGUCUGGGUCAUCUCAGCUCAUGAGCUGAGCUUUCAGUGGGUGCUCAGUGGAACAGGUGCUGAAUGGAGUCAGGCUGUAGGGAGGCCAGCGUGUGUUGGUAAGUGAGAGACAAAAAUCAUUUUAAAAAGAAUCUUUUUGCCCUUCAGUUGUGUUUGCCAUGAGUUAAUGUGAUUUACUCUAGUGGAAGCCAGUGCAGCUUAAGUGGAGAUCUUGCCCUGAAAUGGAGCCAGGUUAUGGAUCAGCAGAGCUGCCGAAAGCAUUUUGGGGGAAAUGUUUCUGUGUCACCCUCAGUUGAUUGAACUGAAGUUUUCACUCCGGUUUAACACCACGUGGGGGCCAUUCUGACUUCUGCGGAGUGGGUAUGAUCAGAUCUUCUGUAAAAGUGUAAGUGAGGGGGCUGGGCACGGUGGCUCACACCUGUAAUCUUAGCACUUGGGAGGCUGAGGUAGGUGGAUCACUUGAGGCAGAGAGUUUGAGACAAGCCUGGACGACAUGAUGAAACCUCAUCUCUACUAAAAAUACAAAAAUUAGCCAGGCAUGAUGGUGCAUGCCUGUAAUGCCAGCUACUCAGGAGGCCGAGGCAGGAGAAUCACUUGAACCUGGGAGGUGGAAGUUGCAGUGAGCUGAGGUUGCACCACUGCACAGUAUUCCAGCCUGGGUGACAGAGCGAGACUCCGUCUCAAAAACAAAACAAAACCAAAAGUGUAUGUGAGGAAACUGGAAUUAAGCUUGGGGAUGUUGGGGGAUGGAGGUACUUCAUUUACUGAACAACAAAACCAUAGGAUACCAAUGCUGGAGGAAGAAGCAUCAUCCUCAGAUUCUACUAACUCAACAACGCAUGAGAUGGGGACUUGGUGUCCGAGAGAAAAGCUACUUUUUAGGUCUUGAACCUUGAUCAAACCAUUUCUGAAUUCCUCAUACACAUAUAAUCAGGUGCUAUGAGUGGUACUGAUUGGAUAAUCUUUCUGUCAUUUCCUGUGCUAGGAAGGAAAAUACAUGUACAGCCAACUUCCUUGAGGGUUCGUUCUUUUGCAUCAGGGUGUCUCAAACUGCUGCCCUUAAAACACCUGUAAGAGAAUCAUCCAGGCGGCUUGCUUGCUCUGCAUGCAGGCCCUUUAGAAUCAGAGUCAGAAUCCCUGGGGCUGGAUCCACAAAAUGAAAUGACAUUUCAACGAGUUUGUCAUCAUGUGAGAGAGAAUAGGUGAGUAUUUGGAUACCUAUAAUACAAAGUAGAUUCAAAAAGAAUGACUUGAUUAUUUUAAAUGUUGUGUUUAAAAAAAUUUAAUACAGAAAAGGCUGAGCACGGUGACCCAUGCCUGUAAUCUUAGCACUUUGGGAGGCGAAGGCGGGUGGAUCAUUUGAGGUCAGGAGUUCAACACCAGCCUGCCAACAAGGUGAAACCCCAUCUCUAUUAAAAACAUAAAAAUUAGCCAGGCAGUAGUGGUGCGUGCCUGUAAUCCCAGCUACGGGGGAGGCUGAGGCAGGAGAGUUGCUUAAGCCUGGGAGGCAGAGAUUUGGUGAGCUGAGAUCGUACCACUGUACUCCAAUGUGGGUGACGAUUGUCUAACCACCACUAAAAUGGGUUCUGAGUCCAACUAUUAACAUGAAGAUGACAUCCAUUGUGGUCGUGUACAUUUUGUUGCCUUUCCGGGGUGAAGGACAUUGGUGACCAUUUGUUUCCUCUGGAACGGUCGAUUGGUCAUGAACUUCCUGGUCCAGGUAGUCACUGUGUCAUUCAUGAUGGUGGUUGAUCCUCAGGUAGUUAGGGAGGAAAAUAAACAAGAAGUUAUAUAUUUAAAACCACGUUUCAAUUUUAGACCUGAUUAAUUGACUUAAUAAAGGGCAUUAGCACUUCUACUUCCUACAGUCCCUCCCUUUACUUCUGGAAACUAGUUAUUUCUAGGUUGUUUUAUGUUGUUAAGGUUGACCACCUUCUCUUUCUGUUCUGCAAUCAUAGUCCUAUCACUAGCCUUUUGUCAUGGUCAUUCAAUUCACAAGUUGCUUAUUUUUUAAUUCCUUGGCUGACUAAAUUUUAUUAUGAAGACUUUUUUUUUUAAAGAGCUCAGAAAUACUGUAUUCUUUAAGUUCUUCGACAUGUGAUCAUGUCUUUUGCCUAUUUUGAUUGGGCAAUAAUUUAGCUGGCUAUAAAAUUCUUGGAUUAUACUCUAUUUCCCUUAGAAAUUAUAAGCACCCAUCCACUGACAUUUCAUUGUGCUUUAUUUUAUUUUAUUUUAUUUUUGAGAUGGAGUCUUGCUCUGUCACCCAGGCUUGAGUGCAGUGGUGCAAUCUCGACUCACUGCAAGCUCUGCCUCCCGGGUUCACACCAUUCUCCUUCCUCAGCCUCCCGAGUAGCUGGGACUACAGGCGCUCACCUCCAUGUCUGGCUAACUUUUUUGUAUUUUUAGUAGAGAUGGGGUUUCACCGUGUUAGCCAGCAUGAUCUCAAUCUCCUGAUCUCAUGAUCCACCGGCCUUGGGCUCCCAAAGUGCUGGGAUUACAGGUGUGAGCCACUGUAUGAGCCCAGCCUCAUUGUGCUUUAUACUAACCCCCUUUCCCUGGCCUCUUCCAGCUUGUCUUCUUCUCUCCCAGUAGUUUCUUCAUGAAGAGGCCAUGUGCUAUAUUCCGUGAGAUAUUUCACACUCAAAGAAGACUUCUUUUAUACUCUUUUGAUAAUUUGUCUGGGAAUCACUGUCUUGAUUUAUAAGGGAGUUUGUAAUAAAUACAAUAAAAGAGAAACACAAUAUAUUUUGAGACAUCAGAGAAGGGAGAAACCAAUUCUAUUAAUAUUUGGGGUUAGCAGGGAAGGCUUAGUUAAGAGGUAACAUUUGAACUAAGCCUUGAAAUAAGGGAAGGAUUUGGCCAUGCAGAAAUGGCGAGAGAGUAGAAGCAAGACAUGAUGGUUAGCGGUAUGUAUCAAUUUGACUGGGUUGUGGGGUGCCCAGAUAUUUGGCUACACGUUAUUCUGGGUGUGUCUCUGAGGUAUUCUGGAUGAGGAUAACAUUUAAUUGGUAGACUGAAUAAAGCAGAUUGUCCUCCCCAAUGUGGGUGAGCCUCAUCCAAUCCAUUGAAGGCCUGAACAAAACAAAAAGGUAGAGUCACAGAGAAUUUGCUCUUUUUACCUGAUUAUAUUUGAGUUGGGACAUCAAUCUUGUCCUGACUUUAGAUGUGGACUCGAGUUGGAACUAUAUCAUUGGCUGUCCUGGGUCUCCAGCUUGCUGGCUGCAGACUCCAGGUCUCCUUAGCCUCCAUAACCAUGUGAGCCAUCCCUUACAACAAAUCAAUCUGUCUCUCUCUAUGUGUAUAGCUCUACCUCUAUCUCUCUGCUCUUUCUCUGGAGAACCUAGAAUAAUACACAAGUUUAUAUUAGAGAAGAGGAUGACCCAAGGAAAAGCAUGGCGGCAGAAAAGUGCAAAGAGGGUUUGGGAAGACUGGGGUCCUGAUGGGGAGUUUGGAUUUCUCUUUGUGUAGCAUGGAGAAUCCUUGAAAAUAUUCAAGAGGUGAAAAUUGUAUUUGUGGAAGAACACCAGGAGUAUGUGAAAAGAAAAACACUCACUCCAUUUUAACUCCACUGAAGGGGACAUCAACGGGAUGCACUGGGGACAUGGGUUGGAGGGUAGUUGAGGCCAUAUCUGGAGGAUCUUUACUUCUAGUCUGAGUCUGAAGUUAUCUUUCUGGGGAGUGGGAAAUUACAAAUCUUUGAGCUCCACUCAAGAGAUGGUUUUGCUAACAAUGGCAGGGCGACGAUGGUGGUGGUGGUGGUGGUGGUGGGAAACUGUUAUCAUGAAUUCUAAUUGAGCUUCUGUUAUUCUAGCCAAGAAAAUUGGGGAAUGGACUUUCAGUAGAAUAAUACAGAUCUGGGAAUCAACUGUAUGGAGGAGGUAGUUAUAGGUGACGAGAUGUCUCAGGGACAAAGUUUGGUAGAAGGAGAAAAGAUACUAGGCUGCUACAAAAAGAAUUGCUGUUUUUGCCAUUACUUUUAACGGCAAAAUCCGCAAUUACUUUUGCACCAACCUAAUAGGAUGCAAACUUCGGAGCCAUCUGCAUCAGAGGGAUUGAUGAAGAUCAACAAAAUUUGGGAACACAGGAAAGGAGCGGGGAGGGUAAUGACUUGAGGGCAUAGCCGGGAUAAUCAAGGUUUUUCUUGUUAGCAUGUGGAGACUUAAGCAUGAUUAUAUGUUAAACACCUGGCACAUACACGGUGCAAAAUGUUUAUGAGUGAACUGACAAGGGAAGGUGGUGAGUCAUGGGAGUUCCAAGGGAACGGGUGAUAAAGGCAGGUCUCAAAUGAGGCACAAGUGAAGAAGGUAGCUUGGGAAAGGAGAAGGAUGCUUCUCCUUAUAACAUGGGAAAGGCAGAGGAAGAGGAUCAAGAUACAGUGAUCUAGGGAUGAGAUGGAAGUGAGUUGAGAGAAAUCAACUCUGGGCUCUGAAACCCCUAGGGCUGGGUUUGGGGGGCUUUGAGAUAUGGAAGAGGUUUAACGUCAAUUGUUAUAGCAAAUAUGGUUUGGAAUUUAUUUGUGAUGCUUAAAAAUAUUGCUGAACAGAAGUGAAGUCUACCCUAGAGUUGGAUGGUGAGAUUAUUUAGUGGAACUACCAGAUCCAUGUUGUGAUUCUUUCCAGUAUCAUUCAGCAGCCCUUGGGCAGUUGCGAGGCAAGUCAUCAAUGGGGUAUGGAGAUUUUCCAGGUGGGUGUGGUUGAAGGAAGGGAAGAAAGAGUUUAGGAGCACAUUACAAGAAGAAGGUGACUGUAAGGUCCAGGCUGAGCAGGAAGGUAAAGCAAGAAGUAAACAUGAGGUUGUGAAGAGAAGUUUAGAGGGAUGAGGAGGCAGGAGAGGUGAACAGUUGCAGGAUGUAGCUAGAGUGGCGAUGUUAGAUCUUGGGGCCAGAGAGCUUUACAAUGAUGAUGAAGAUCAAAGGGCAUUAGAAUCAAGCUAUAAAGAGCCACUGUUUGAUGUUGGGAUGUGAGGAUGCUGCAGGUGGAUGUCUGCACAUUGAUGGUGAGAACAUGGUCACCCUGGCCCUGCUGGGUCUUUGCUAAAGAGACUGUGCUCUGUUCUUGGGGCCGUUUUCAUCACCUGAUUAGAGCAGUGGUCCCCAAAUGGUGUUCUUUUGGCCAUCUGUAUAAAAUGUUCAUAGGUCAAGGAUAAAAUGGAAAAACAGAGACAAUGUCACAGAAAUGUGCCCACCAGUGAAAGACCACCAGCUGUCCUUUUUGGAGGAUUGUUCUUUAUUCUAAAAAUGUAUAUAUUCUAUUCUAUUAAAACAUUUUUGUAUUGGCAUUUUUUUUCUCUUUUAUGAAAUGCAAUGGGGUAGAAAUUUGUAAUGUAUCCAAUUCUCCUGUCUUCAUGUAUUGCCCUGUGGUGGGGGAGGGGAUGUGGCUAGUACUGGCCAAGAGGCUGGGGGCAGAGGUGCAAUGUUAGACUUCUAGCCUGGAGCGUUUAAUUCUUAGUACAAGACUCCUAACAUUCUUCUCCCUCUGUUCCCUACUUGGUGAUACUCGAGGUAUUGCAACCCCCAUUAACCUCUGUCUUAGGGCAAGUUUGAUGGGAAACAGAGCACCCCACACCUCCCUGCAGAUGUAGCAUGAGUGAGAAAAACAACUUCUGAUGUUUGAAGUUACCAAGAUUUAGGAGUUGUUUGUUAUUGCAGCAAAACCUCACCUAUUCUGACUAAUCAUGGUGGAAUUUCUCUGUGUGUGUGUGUGUGUGUGUGUGUGUGUGUGUGUGUGUAACUGGUAGUUUAAAAAAGUUCCUUCUUACCCAAAAGAAAAAAAAGAUAGCAACCUUAUGUUGGUUCUCAAAUUAAAAAAAUAUUUUUACUUGUUUAUAAAAUAGAAAAAUCUGAGAAUCUGUAGCUUAGAGAACUACAGUGUGGGAUGUCUAUAAAGACCAGGUUAUUUUAUCAGCUCCUAACACCCCUUAAUAGAAGCUUAGCCAAGACUUGCACUAUUUCAGUCUUUCCCAUUCCACAUUCCAUGGACUCUUGAAGAGACAUUGAUGAAACGGUGCAGCCAUGAACCACCCUCACUCAAUCCUAGUGGCAGAACCCCCCCUUUUACUGCAGAAUGAGCUUCUUGCUACAGUGAUACUGCAACCCCUUAGAUAUAUCCUGUACUAAUUAAAUUAAAACACGACCAAUACUUUUGCUUUGUUGUCCCCCAAAUUAAACAACUUAAUCAUGAGAACCCAGAGAAUUGGAUUUAGUGUAACUGAUUCCAAACUGUCAGUAAGAACAUAACUAAGUUAUAUUUUUCUCCAAUUCAAAUAAAAGAAAAUUGACAAUAAAAUGCUGAUGAAUAUGUGUAGCUCAGGAGGUAGAGACUGCUUUGAGAUGCAGAAGUGUUUGUUUUUUUAAUCUAUAUUCUUGAGUAAAGAAAAAAUCCAUCUCUCUUUCCUAGAGGGGAAGACUUUCAGAGCUGGGCUUGGCAACAGCCUGACUAUCGGAGGCUGAAUUAAACAAAUAGGUACCUCCCUGGAGUGAAUGGUGCUUUUCUCCUGUUUGGGGAACCGUGCUUUUAUGGUGGAGUUUGCGUUCUGUCUUGGUCUCCGGAUGUGUGUAUCUGUGGGUGGAUGUCUGCAAGUAAAUGGCAGUGUAUACCUGUGUGGGUGUGUACAAAAUUCCCAUGUGAAUCUCAGCUUUGUGGGGAUCUCCGGUUCUUGAGCCCAGUAGAUGCCAUUUGAAGAAAAAAUCACUUGAAAAUGAGACAGAAAGAAUGGAAACUAAAUCCUAGCUCUAAAGGCACCAGGCUGAUUAAAAAAAAAAAAACAAAAAACCUCUGGAUCUUCUUUGUAUUGGACUCUACCUACCUCUAAAUGACAUUUCUGUUUCCUAUGAGAUCAUUAGAAUGAAAAAGAUCCUGAGCACGAAAGAGCAGAUACUGUGUGAUAGUGUGUAUAUCAGGGUGUCAGCUGUGACACUGCUGACAUUUUGGCUCAGCAAUUUCUCUGUUGUAUGUGUGGGGGUUCCCUGUGCAUUUCAGGAUGUUGAGCGGCAUCCCUGGAUCCCUGGACUCACUGGAUGCAGUAACACAACUCUCCCCAAGUAGACACAACCCCCAGUGUCUCCAGAUAUUCCCUAAUGUCCCCAGGGGGCAAAAUAGCCCCAUCUGAGAACUGCUGCUUUCAUAAAGUACAAUGUCAGGUGAAAUAGGUGGAGGCUGUUUGUAGUCAGGGGUUAAUAGAGAUGGAAGAGACCCCAGGAAUAUCCUGGAAGGGGCUGUAAUAUUUUGUUUCUUGAAUUGGGUGUCAGUAAUAUGGAGAUGUUCGGUUUUUUUUGUUGUUGUUGUUGAUUUUGAGGCAGGAUCUUGCUCUGUCACCUAGGCUGGAGCCCAGUGGCACCGUCAUGGCUCACUGCAGCCUCUGCCUCCUGGGCUCCAGCAGUCCUCCCACCUCAGCCCUCCCUAGUAGCUGGGACUACAGGCAUGUGCCACCACAGUUGCCUAAUUUUUUAUUUAUUUAUUUUUUGUAGAGAGGGUUGUCUCACUAUGUUGCCCAGGCUGGUCUCAAGCUCCUGGGCUCAAGCAAUCUGCUCACCUCGGCCUCCCAAAGUGCUGAGAUGACAGGCAUGAGCCACUGCGUCUGGCCAGUAUGUUCAGUUUGUAAGAAAAGUACUGUGUUGACCUCUUCUAUGUGCACAUUUCUUUAAGUAAUAAUUCAAUAAAGCAUUUAGAAAAAUUGGUCAUAAUAGGAGUCAUUUGUAGAGUGAUUGGCGUGAAAGCUGAUCACCUUAAUUUGAACUACUCUGAAAUGAGCACCAGGGGCCACCAAGAGGACCCUUUCAAGGUGUCAUAGCCAAGGAGAGGAGUGUGUUGUGUACAUCUCUGCAUAAAGGAUUUGCUGGUUACAUGGAAGGAUGAAGCCUCCUUCUGAGGACAGAGGCAGCAAAGCAAGUGGAAGCCCAAAGCAUUGAGCUUUCUAAAUGGACUUUGCUAAAAUCUUGUGGAUGACUCAUGCUCUUAACAUACACCCAUGUACAUAUUGUCCAUAUAAACAUUAAUUCUGUAACAAGGCCCACACUUAAGGGUUUUUUUUUUUUCUUUUGUGACAGUCUUGCUUUAUUGUCUAGGCUAGAGUACAGUGGCAUAAUCGUGACUCACUGCAACCUCAGCCUCCUAGGUUCAAGCAAUGCUUGUGCCUCAGCCACCCGAGUAGCUGGGACUACAGGUGCACAACACCAUGCCUGGGUAAUUUUUGUAUUUUUAGUAGAGACGGGGUUUCACCAUGUUGGCCAGGCUGGUCUCAAACUCCUGGCCUCAAGUGAUCUGCGCACCUCCGCCUCCUAAAGUGUUGGGAUUACAGGUGUGAGCCACUCCGCCUGGGCCCACACAUAAGGUUUGAGUUGAGAUAGAGAAACUCUGGCAGUACUGAGGAAUCGGGCCACAGUCUCUGGGAAAUAUGCACAAUUUCUGGAAUCUUCUCUACUUCCAGAGUUCCCACUUUCUGUCUCCUGUUUAUUCAACAAACUUGUAUGGAAACACAGUGUGUCUAGAACUUGCCAGGCGUGGAGGAUAAAAGAUGACUGAGAUCGGGCAUGGUGGCUCAUGCCUGUAAUCCAAGCACUUUGGGAGGCCAAGGCAGGCGGAUCACUUGAGGGCAGGAAUUUGAGCACAGCCUGGCCAACAUGAUGAAACGUCUCUACUAAAAAUACAAAAAUUCGACAGGCAUGGUGGCAUGCACAUGUAGUCCCAUCUACUUGGGAAGCUGAGGCAGGAGAAUCGCUUGAACCCAGGAGGCAGAUGUUUCAGUGAGCUGAGAUCACACCACUGCAUUCCAGCCUGGGAGACAGAGCAAGAUUCCAUCUCAAAAAAAAAAAAAAAAAAGA